CAGCAGCCGCGGUAAUACGUAGGUGGCAAGCGUUGUCCGGAAUUAUUGGGCGUAAAGCGCGCGCAGGCGGUCCUUUAAGUCUGAUGUGAAAUCUUGCGGCUCAACCGCAAGCGGCCAUUGGAAACUGGGGGACUUGAGUGCAGGAGAGGGAAGUGGAAUUCCACGUGUAGCGGUGAAAUGCGUAGAGAUGUGGAGGAACACCAGUGGCGAAGGCGGCUUCCUGGCCUGUAACUGACGCUGAGGCGCGAAAGCGUGGGGAGCAAACAGGAUUAGAUACCCUGGUAGUCCACGCCGUAAACGAUGAGUGCUAAGUGUUAGGGGGUUUCCGCCCCUUAGUGCUGCAGCUAACGCAUUAAGAACUCCGCCUGGGGAGUACGGCCGCAAGGCUGAAACUUAAAGGAAUUGGCGGG
rnacentral:rRNA from 1 species